UUCUAGAAAACAACAGCUUGUCCUGUGGAGAAUUCUGAGUACAUGCAGAUGGAAAAUUAGAGGCUGAAUACCAAAAGACAAAGGAGCUGUUUUCCUGAGAGUCCAUCUGGGACCCUAAGUACAAGCAGUGGUGAGCUAGUUAGCAAAGGUGAAGUACGGAGCUGGAGGAGCAAUACUGGAUCCAAAAGGCAAGAUGUACAGUCUAUCAGGAAGAUUAGCCAUCAUAAGCGUGUAGGACCAAUCAUCCAUUCCCUCAUGAUACCGACUCAUUUCUAAACUGAUAUGCAGUGCAGGCCCUGGAAUCCCAUGGCAGCCCUUGUUUAUAGUGAUCUUCCAGGUGACCUGUCGUUGCAGAUUCCCAUGUAAUUGCAAGCAGAAUAUUACGGUGGUGAACAUCACAGUCUCCGAGGGAUCAAAGAAGAUCUAACCCCUCAACAACCAGCUCUGCAUUGUUGUGUAAGAUCAUGAAGCUGGGAACUAUUGCAGCUGCCCAGUGCCCACGAGGGUGGAAGCCUGAGUGUAAAGGCCGACAUCGGGAUGACAGAGAAGACAGACAGAGAGAGCCAGAGUCUAAACGGCAUUGUUGAGUCAGGAACUCAUCCAACAGUCACAACAUUUAUGAGAAAGAAACACGCAAACUCUGUAUCUAGACAAAGCAGGAGGAGCUAACACUCAAAACCCAAAUGGAUGGAAAGAAUGUUCACAGCAGUGAAUAUUUCUCAGAUAUCGUGGCUGAGAUGCUGAAGAGCACACUGGAACGGCUUUUUGCAGCUACAGGGGCAGAACAAGGACUCUAGCACAUAUCAAGAGGGAUGCCAGAACAUCUUUGGAUAACUACAGGAAUAUGACUAAACAAGAAGAAACGUGUUUCACUAAGAUAAGUUAUUCCUUUGAAUUAUUUGAUUUUUUUCUGAUUAUGCAACCUU